rnacentral:rRNA from 1 species
ACUCCUACGGGAGGCAGCAGUAGGGAAUUUUUCGCAAUGGAGGAAACUCUGACGGAGCAAUACCGCGUGUGGGAAGAAGAUUUUCGGAUUGUAAACCACUGUUGUAAGGGAAGAACGUUAUUAGUAGGAAAUGGCUAAUAAGUGACGGUACCUUACCAGAAAGGGACGGCUAACUACGUGCCAGCAGCCGCGGUAAUACGUAGGUCCCGAGCGUUAUCCGGAAUUAUUGGGCGUAAAGGGCACGUAGGCGGACAAAUAAGUUUGAUGUCAAAUAUGAUGGCUCAACCAUCAAGAGGCGUUGAAAAACUGUUUAUCUAGAAUCUCGGAGAGGUAAAGUGGAAUUCCAUGUGUAGCGGUGGAAUGCGUAGAUAUAUGGAGG